CCACAGGUGGUGACAAAUGGGUUACAGUAGCAAACACUGAGCCCUCAAGUAGUGAAUGCAACCUGGAGCCACAAAUAAUCAGACCAGCCGACUCCCGGCCUCGACUUCUCUAUAACAGUCUUUGUUCGGUUGGUCAGCUUUCUGUGCCUCGGAGCCUGGUACGGUGAAUUCUGCAUCCUCAGUUCUUGAGGCUGGACCAUGGCCAUAACAUCUGUGGCGGCUAUUCCUUACAGAUCAUUUGUUCUGGGGGAGGCCAGCUGUUAAGAUGCCCAUGUGGCAAGAAACUGAGGCUCCCAACCAGCAGCCAGCAAGGAUCUGAUGCCUGCCAACAGUCCAGUGAGUGAGCUUGAAUCCCACUGGAACUUUGAGAUUACUGCAGCCCCAGCCAACAGUUUUACUGUAACUUCCUAAGAGACCCUGAGCCAGAAGCACCCAGCUAAACCACUCCUAGAUUCCUGACACUCAGAGCCUGUUAGAUAGUAAGUGUUUGUUAUUUUAAACUUUUCAGUUUGGGGGUAAUUUGUUAUGCAGCAAUUGAUAACUAACAAUCAUCUAGCUGAUGGGCUUGGCUGGGGUAAUGGAACCUGCCUUAGAACUCUGCACCAUAGAACUGCCAAGUGGUGGCACCAUUACCACAUUGUAAAUUCAGCUACAUUUGGCAAAAUAUUAA